rnacentral:lncRNA from 1 species
GGGAUAACGGGGACAGAUGGGGACAGAUGGGUCCCUAUAGGGGCAGUGGGGGACAUGGGGACAAUGGGAUUGGAGACAUUUGGGACCUCAUGGGGACAAUGGGGACAGACGGGUCCUUAUAGGGGCAGUGGGGUACAAUGGGGACAGAUGCGUCCCUAUAAGGGCAAUGGGGGACAUGGGGACAGUGGGGUUGGGGGCAGUGGGGACAACCAGGACCCCAUAGGGACAGAUGGGUCCCUAUAGGGGCAAUAUGAGAACAUGGAGACAAUGGGGUUGGGGCCAUUUGGGACCUCAUGGGGACAGACGGGUCCUUGUAGGGGCAAUGGGAUACAAUGGGACCAGCGGCGUUGGGGACAAUGGGGACAUUUGGGACCCCGCCAUGACACGGUGUCCCCCCUGUCCCCCCCCCCAGGACGGGCAGCUGAGCCGGGAGGAGAUCCUGGGCAACUGGCAGAUGUUCGUGGGCAGCCAGGCCACCAACUAUGGCGAGGAUCUGGAGCGGCCCCACGA